rnacentral:rRNA from 1 species
GACGUAGGGCGCGAGCGUUGUCCGGAUUUAUUGGGCGUAAAGAGCUCGUAGGCGGCUUGUCGCGUCGACCGUGAAAACUUGGGGCUCAACCCCAAGCCUGCGGUCGAUACGGGCAGGCUCGAGUUCGGUAGGGGAGACUGGAAUUCCUGGUGUAGCGGUGAAAUGCGCAGAUAUCAGGAGGAACACCGGUGGCGAAGGCGGGUCUCUGGGCCGAUACUGAAGCUGAGGAGCGAAAGCGUGGGGAGCGAACAGG